AGGCAGCCACUUUGCAGUACAUAUUGGGCAAAGAAGGUGUUAAACUGCUCGUAUAUUGAAUUUGUUUGGGCUUUUCAGAGUUGCUGAGGGAGAUUGAUUUCCUUGAAGCUUGGCCUAGAAAGCCCAAGUACAUU